AGCCCAUGCAGAGAAGGAAGUGAGGAAAUGGCUGUCAGGCAGAGACCGGAUGUCACACCAGCUUAUACCAGUUCAAGCAGCAAACUGAGAACACAAUGCAGGCUCCUUUGAUCUUCUUGAGACAAGACAGCUCACCUUGUGUUCAUCUCUUGUCUGCCCUGUGGGGGACUGUGGGGGCCAAUUCCAGAAGGUCAGGAGGCCCAUGACCUUGCAUUGUAAAAAUCGAAAGGUCUGGCUUUUUAUUGGACCUAUUUUGUUCUCCUGCGGACACCCUGCGGAGGGGAGGACGGACUGCUAGCCUCAGAGAAAAUUCCCUCACUCUCCCCUCACAUCCUCAGCUCUAAGCAUGGCUAAGAUCACGUAUGCUGCUGCAGAUGCUGAUUCCGGCUCUCCAUGACCAGUGACUUCUCACGCCGCCGUUGCUGUGAGCUUCUCCUGGAGCUGAAGCUGUGAUUUUUCUCUUAGGACUUAGCAUACCACAGAUCCCAGGACCUAGAGGUUUGGGAUGUGGCUCAAAUAAUUAUGCGUUUUUCUGUG
rnacentral:lncRNA from 1 species